rnacentral:rRNA from 3 species
AAAUUGAAGAGUUUGAUCAUGGCUCAGAUUGAACGCUGGCGGCAGGCCUAACACAUGCAAGUCGAACGGUAACAGGAAGCAGCUUGCUGUUUCGCUGACGAGUGGCGGACGGGUGAGUAAUGUCUGGGAAACUGCCUGAUGGAGGGGGAUAACUACUGGAAACGGUAGCUAAUACCGCAUAACGUCGCAAGACCAAAGAGGGGGACCUUCGGGCCUCUUGCCAUCGGAUGUGCCCAGAUGGGAUUAGCUAGUAGGUGGGGUAACGGCUCACC